rnacentral:tRNA from 1 species
GGGCCGGUAGUCUAGUGGCUAUGACGCCGCCCUUACACGGCGGAGGUCGUGGGUUCGACUCCCACCCGGCCCA